ACGGGAGGCAGCAGUAGGGAAUCUUCCACAAUGGGCGAAAGCCUGAUGGAGCAACGCCGCGUGAGUGAAGAAGGAUUUCGGUUCGUAAAACUCUGUUGUAAGGGAAGAACAAGUACAGUAGUAACUGGCUGUACCUUGACGGUACCUUAUUAGAAAGCCACGGCUAACUACGUGCCAGCAGCCGCGGUAAUACGUAGGUGGCAAGUGUUGUCCGGAAUUAUUGGGCGUAAAGCGCGCGCAGGUGGUUUCUUAAGUCUGAUGUGAAAGCCCACGGCUCAACCGUGGAGGGUCAUUGGAAACUGGGAGACUUGAGUGCAGAAGAGGAUAGUGGAAUUCCAAGUGUAGCGGUGAAAUGCGUAGAGAUUUGGAGGAACACCAGUGGCGAAGGCGACUAUCUGGUCUGUAACUGACACUGAGGCGCGAAAGCGUGGGGAGCAAACAGGAUUAGAUACCCUGGUAGUCCACGCCGUAAACGAUGAGUGCUAAGUGUUAGGGGGUUUUCGCCCCUUAGUGCUGCAGCUAACGCAUUAAGCACUCCGCCUGGGGAGUACGGUCGCAAGACUGAAACUCAAAGGAAUUGAC
rnacentral:rRNA from 1 species